AGUGAACGCUGGCGGUAGGCCUAGCACAUGCAAGUCGAACGGCAGCACAGUAAGAGCUUGCUCCUACGGGUGGCGAGUGGCGGACGGGUGAGGAAUACAUCGGAAUCUACUUUUUCGUGGGGGAUAACGUAGGGAAACUUACGCUAAUACCGCAUACGACCUACGGGUGAAAGCAGGGGAUCUUCGGACCUUGCGCGACUGAAUGAGCCGAUGUCGGAUUAGCUAGUUGGCGGGGUAAAGGCCCACCAAGGCGACGAUCCGUAGCUGGUCUGAGAGGAUGAUCAGCCACACUGGAACUGAGACACGGUCCAGACUCCUACGGGAGGCAGCAGUGGGGAAUAUUGGACAAUGGGCGCAAGCCUGAUCCAGCCAUACCGCGUGAGUGAAGAAGGCCUUCGGAUUGUAAAGCCCUUUUGUUGGGAAAGAAAAGCAGCAGAUUAAAACCCCGCUGUUCUGACGGUACCCAAAGAAUAAGCACCGGCUAACUUCGUG
rnacentral:rRNA from 1 species